rnacentral:rRNA from 1 species
AGUCGAGGGGUAUAGGUUUUCGGACCUAGAGACCGGCGCACGGGUGCGUAACGCGUAUGCAAUCUACCUUUUACAGAGGGAUAGCCCAGAGAAAUUUGGAUUAAUACCUCAUAGUAUUAUGACUCGGCAUCGAGAUAUAAUUAAAGUCACAACGGUAAAAGAUGAGCAUGCGUCCCAUUAGCUUGUUGGUAAGGUAACGGCUUACCAAGGCAACGAUGGGUAGGGGUCCUGAGAGGGAGAUCCCCCACACUGGUACUGAGACACGGACCAGACUCCUACGGGAGGCAGCAGUGAGGAAUAUUGGUCAAUGGGCGCAAGCCUGAACCAGCCAUGCCGCGUGCAGGAUGAAGCAUCUAUGGUGUGUAAACUGCUUUUGUACGAGAAGAAACACUCCUACGUGUAGGAGCUUGACGGUAUCGUAAGAAUAAGGACCGGCUAACUCCGUGCCAGCAGCCGCGGUAAUACGGAGGGUCCAAGCGUUAUCCGGAAUCAUUGGGUUUAAAGGGUCCGUAGGCGGUUUUGUAAGUCAGUGGUGAAAGCCCAUCGCUCAACGGUGGAACGGCCAUUGAUACUGCAAGACUUGAAUUAUUAGGAAGUAACUAGAAUAUGUAGUGUAGCGGUGAAAUGCUUAGAGAUUACAUGGAAUACCAAUUGCGAAGGCAGGUUACUACUAAUGGAUUGACGCUGAUGGACGAAAGCGUGGGGAGCGAACAGGAUUAGAUACCCUGGUAGUCCACGCCGUANACGAUGGAUACUAGCUGUUCGGAGCAAUCUGAGUGGCUAAGCGAAAGUGAUAAGUAUCCCACCUGGGGAGUACGUUCGCAAGAAU